rnacentral:misc_RNA from 1 species
GAUGAAGAACGCAGCGAAAUGCGAUAAGUAAUGUGAAUUGCAGAAUUCAGUGAAUCAUCGAAUCUUUGAACGCACCUUGCGCCCUUUGGCUAUUCCGAAGGGCAUGCCUGUUUGAGUAUCGUGAACACCUCAACUCUCAUGGUUUGCCAUGAUGAGCUUGGACUUUGGGGGUUUUGCUGGCCUUUGGUCGGCUCCUCUCAAACGGAUCAGCUUUCCAGUGUUUGGUGGCGUCACGGGUGUGAUAACUAUCUACGCCUGUGGUUUUCUGCCAGAUAACCUUCAGCGAUGGAGGUUCGCUGGGGCUCAUAAAUGUCUCUCUUCAGUGGAGACAGCUUUUUGGACGUUUGAUCUCAAAUCAGGUAGGACUACCCGCUGAACAUAAGCAUAUCAAUAAGCGGAGGA